rnacentral:misc_RNA from 1 species
GUGAAUCAUCGAAUCUUUGAACGCAUAUUGCACUCUCUGGUAUUCCGGAGAGUAUGCCUGUCUGAGGGUCAUUAAAAAGAAUAUUUUACCAAUUUUUUUUGGUCAAAGGAAAUGAGCUCUCCGCGUUUAUAGCGGUAGCUUGAAAUAAAUGGUCAAGUUUCUUUUUAGUCGAGACGCGUAAUAAUAUUAUUUCGCGAAAUCUUAAUUAUGUGACUAUCAAGUUUUAAUGCAUUUAAAUUGGGUUUUGUUGGGAUCAAUAC